CCCAGGCAAAGCUAAGUUCCACAGAGAACCACUCAGCCAUGUAGAAGUUGGAAGUCCUGGAGAGGGUUCAAAUGCUAUUACUCAGUAAUAUAAACGCAAAAGGGAAAAUGACAGCCUUCAGGAAGAUACUGCCUAUGGAACUAAAAAGAAGGAAAACAAAUUGAGAUACAAGGAAUAUAAAACAGCAUUUCAGAAAUUAGCUUUUCUAAGAUAAACAUUCAAAGGACGUUAUUAUGAUCUGGUUGCGUGCAAAGAUGAAAUAAGGAGAUGUUGAUAUCAAUAGGACCACAGAGCUGGGCUAACCCUGGUGUGGACAUUGGGAGCCUGGGGAUCACGUUGUGGCUGCAGGAUUGGAAAGUCCCCAUGAGUAAGCACAUGAGACAAUGAGCGGGGAAGUCCUACCCUGUGGGUAAAAUGAAGUCCCAAGAAAAUACUGUUCCUGUGGAAAUCCCAUAUCCAGUGGUUUCCUUUUCUUUUCUGCCUGCCUCAUGACCAGACUCAACCCGGAAUGUGAGACUAAGAGAAGAUAAGAGCAAUGGAUCUGCUGCCUAAUUUGUGAAAGUUUACACAACCUUUCUACGUGAAGAAUAUUGCAACUUUAAAAACAGCAUGAAAAAUUUUGUUACAUUAGGAUGCAAAAAGGGCGUGGUGGCUUAUGCCUGUAAUCCCAGCAUUUUUGGAGGCUGAGGCAGGAGGAUCAUCUGAGGUCAGGAGUUUGAUACCACCGUGGCCAACAUGGUGAAUCCCUGUUUCUACUAAAAAUACAAAAAAUUAGCUGGGUGUGGUGGUGCAUGCCUGUAGUUGCCUGAUUGAGUAUCCCAACACCUAACACACACAUGUGCACAUGCACACACACACCCAUGGCAAGUGAGAGAGAGAGAACCAUUUAACAAUGACUGAAGAUUAAUUGGUCUCAGGAAUUUAAAAUAACUUCUGUACAGCCAUUAGCUGGCUACUGAAAUAACUGAGCAGAGACAUCAGUGGCCACAAAUGACAAAUAACACA
rnacentral:lncRNA from 1 species